ACACUAUUCAUGGGUUACCGCGGCUGCUGGCACGGAGUUAGCCGGUGCUUCUUCUGCGAGUAACGUCACAGAUGUAAGGUAUUAACUUACACCCUUUCCUCCUCGCUGAAAGUGCUUUACAACCCGAAGGCCUUCUUCACACACGCGGCAUGGCUGCAUCAGGGUUUCCCCCAUUGUGCAAUAUUCCCCACUGCUGCCUCCCGUAGGAGUCUGGGCCGUGUCUCAGUCCCAGUGUGGCUGAUCAUCCUCUCAGACCAGCUAGGGAUCGUCGCCUAGGUGAGCCUUUAACCUCACCUACUAGCUAAUCCCACCUGGGCUUAUCCAUCAGCGCAAGGCCCGAAGGUCCCCCUGCUUUCCCCCGUAGGGCGUAUGCGGUAUUAGCAGUCGUUUCCAACUGUUAUCCCCCACAAAUGGGCAAAUUCCCAGGCAUUACUCACCCGUCCGCCGCUCGUCAUCUUCAAAAAGC
rnacentral:rRNA from 1 species